GCUACUAUAGCUCAGUCGGUAGAGCGCUACCUUGGUAAGGUAGAGGUCACCAGUUCGAUUCUGGUUAGUAGCUCCA
rnacentral:tRNA from 1 species